rnacentral:snRNA from 1 species
GCAUGUGAGGGCACUCUGGCUGCAACAUGUCACCCCAUUGCUUGCCAGGGUACAUUCAGCUGACCUGGCGGGUGUCCCCUUCCUCCUUCAUUGCUCCCUGUGCGUCCUCCCUGAAGUUGCAAGCUCAGUCGAAGAGGACCACCUUCCCCGAAUAGAGGAGGACUAGUCUUCAGUCAAGGGUCUACAAAUAGCUGUGCUCCCCUGCUAGAACCUCUAAACAAGCUCUCAAAAACUGAGGUGAGCCGGGCGUGGUGGCGCACUCCUUUAAUCCCAGCACUCAGGAGGCAGAGGUAGGAGGAUCACUGUGAGUUCCAGGCCUGCCUGAG